AUCCAGCUGACGAGUCCCAAAUGAGACUAGACGUGCGUCAUGGAU
rnacentral:hammerhead_ribozyme from 1 species